rnacentral:rRNA from 1 species
UACGAAGGGGGCUAGCGUUGCUCGGAAUUACUGGGCGUAAAGGGAGCGUAGGCGGCCGAUCGAAGUCGGGGGUGAAAGCCUGUGGCUCAACCACAGAAUUGCCUUCGAUACUGUUUGGCUUGAGACCGGAAGAGGUUAGUGGAACUGCGAGUGUAGAGGUGAAAUUCGUAGAUAUUCGCAAGAACACCAGUGGCGAAGGCGGCUGACUGGUCCGGGUUCUGACGCUGAGGCGCGAAAGCGUGGGUACGCAAACGAGGG